AACGAACGCUGGCGGCAGGCCUAACACAUGCAAGUCGAACGCUGUAGCGAUACAGAGUGGCAGACGGGUGAGUAACGCGUGGGAACAUUCCUAGAGGUACGGAAUAGCUCAGGGAAACUUGGGGUAAUACCGUAUAAGCCCUUACGGGGAAAGAUUUAUCGCCUUCAGAUUGGCCCGCGUUGGAUUAGCUAGUUGGUGAGGUAAUGGCUCACCAAGGCGACGAUCCAUAGCUGGUUUGAGAGAAUGACCAGCCACACUGGGACUGAGACACGGCCCAGACUCCUACGGGAGGCAGCAGUGGGGAAUCUUGGACAAUGGGCGCAAGCCUGAUCCAGCCAUGCCGCGUGAGUGACGAAGGCCUUCGGGUUGUAAAGCUCUUUUGACGGGGACGAUAAUGACGGUACCCGUAGAAUAAGUCCCGGCUAACUUCGUGCCAGCCGCCGCCGUAA
rnacentral:rRNA from 1 species